CAGUAUCUGUAGUUCUCUUAGAAUGAUUUUGCAUAAUUAGCACAUAUGUAAAUAUAGGAUAUUAAUAUAUCAAUCAACAAAAAGUACAGGCAAUAUUGCUUUAUAAGUACUUAUAAUCGUGAUGGCGUCAGUUUGCUUUGCAUUUUGGAAUACACAACGACUUAGUUUUGUUUUACAGUGAAAUAUAUUAAUUAUUUACUAAUUAAAAUUUUAUUGACAAAUCUGUGAUUUGGCUUGUGAAACAUAAUAAGAAUUUCUAGUUUGAUGGGCUUAUCGGCUGUAAGGGGGCCAUACGUUCAGGAAGCACACCUGGUGUUAAGGCAUAUCGCUGCCAGUUACUCUCAAUGCCGGUCGUUUAACAAUUGGUACGCUGUUUUCUUGAAGGAAGGAGGUAAUGCAUGUGUGCUGUGGUUGUUGGCUGGCUCAGCAUUAUGCUGAGGAGCAGAGUUCGUUCAAAAAGGCAGCAGCUGGCUUCACGUAUUGCGCGGCAUCUGCCUUAAAAACGCUCAGUUGCGGAACCUGGACCUGUUCAGAGCGAUAGCAAGUGGCCGGAUGGGAUGUCGUUGAUACCUUGUAAGAUGCGACGGGCUUUAGUAUGGCAGGCUACUCGUGUGGACACGUUAGCCCCGACUCACCAACCUCGGAUACGCAGACAGGAUGGAAAAUAAAAAACAGCUCGAAUAUAAGAGUCUUUCCUCCAACUUCGAUUUUAUUCCCUUUGGACCGUGGGGUUCAAGUGCACAGGCGCUAGUUAAAGAUUGCAGUUGGCGCCUGGAAAAUAGUACCUUCCUUCGCUCAAAGAAUAAGUAUGCCAAUACAGCGAGGAAAUAUUGCCAGCGUGGAACAAUGCCACAGGCACCAAACUUUUUAAAAUCGAUUUAAUUUUUUAAAAUUAAUUUUAUUAUUAAUAUGUACGUUAAGGAAAUUGUAAAUACUGUAUAUUUGAUUGUUAUAUUGGUUUUAAUAAACUAUGUAUCACAGAUAUAAAUGUAGCUAUAAUUCGUUUCAAUAUUAUGACGGGUCCGUAAACUGAGGUAUUAUGGAAACUGCUACUUGAUAAAAUUAGGUUAAAGCAAUAAUACAAAAUUUCAGAAAUAGCACAGCGCGUUAGCGCAGAAUU